rnacentral:rRNA from 1 species
GACGAACGCUGGCGGCGUGCUUAACACAUGCAAGUCGAACGGAAAGGCCCUGCUUUUGUGGGGUGCUCGAGUGGCGAACGGGUGAGUAACACGUGAGUAACCUGCCCUUGACUUUGGGAUAACUUCAGGAAACUGGGGCUAAUACCGGAUAGGAGCUCCUGCUGCAUGGGGGGGGUUGGAAAGUUUCGGCGGUUGGGGAUAGACUCGCGGGUUAUCAGCUUGUUAGGGGGGUAGUGGCUUACCAAGGCUUUGACGGGUAGCCGGCCUGGGAGGGUGACAGGCGACAAGGCUACUGAGGGACGGCCCAGACGCCUAUGGUACGCAGUAGGCGGGAAUAUUGCGGAAUAACCGCACGCGUGAUGCAGAAGCGCUGCGUGCGGAAUGACGUCCUAUUAGGGAAGAACCGCUGUCUAAGUAAAUGUGCACGUCUUGACGGUACCUAAUAAGGAAGCCCCGGCUAACUACGUG